GGGGAUAUCCCACCUCCCCUACCUUAAGAUCUGGCAAUCUAACGCGAAAAAGGAGGCUUCUACAUCUACAACUAAAGAAGCACCCCUAGAGGUUAAGAAGCUACUAGAAGAAUGGCAAAUGAGUACUCUAAGUGGCUUGGAUGAAAAGUCACCCAAAAAAAUAUCAGAUGCAUGCCAACAAUGGAUCUUGCUGCAGCUAAAGGCGAACCCGAGAUCGUACGAGCAAACAACGUACUCGUCGAUACUCAGGCCAACGGUUGCACGCUCACAG
rnacentral:lncRNA from 1 species